AUGGAACCUCUGCUGCUGUUCCUGGCCCUGCUCGCCGCCCCCGGCUGUGUCCUCUCCCAGGUGCAGCUGGUCCAGUCGGGCCCAGGGACAGUGAAGCCUGGAGAGACCCUCGCCCUGAGCUGCGCUGUCUCGGGUGUGUCCAUCAGUGACAGCAGCUACGCUUGGCACUGGGUCCGGCAGCCUCCUGUGAAAGGGCUGGAGUGGAUGGGAUACGUGUAUCCGUAUGCUGGGAGCACAGGCUACGCCCCGUCUCUCCAAGGCCGAGUCACCAUCUCUGGGGACACCGCCAAGAACCAGGUCUCGCUGCAGCUCCGCUCGCUGACAGCUGCAGACACCGGCACCUAUUACUGCGCCAGAAAAGUAGAGACAGUGACAGACACAGUGACACAGAGCAACGCAGGGCCUGUCACAAACACAGGAAGGGGUUUCUAG